GAUGAACGCUAGCUACAGGCUUAACACAUGCAAGUCGAGGGGAAACGACAUCGAAAGCUUGCUUUUGAUGGGCGUCGACCGGCGCACGGGUGAGUAACGCGUAUCCAACCUGCCCACCACUUGGGGAUAACCUUGCGAAAGUAAGACUAAUACCCAAUGAUAUCUCUAGAAGACAUCUGAAAGAGAUUAAAGAUUUAUCGGUGAUGGAUGGGGAUGCGUCUGAUUAGCUUGUUGGCGGGGUUAACGGCCCCACCAAGGCGACGAUCAGUAGGGGUUCUGAGAGGAAGGUCCCCCCACAUUGGAACUGAGACACGGUCCAAACUCCUACGGGAGGCAGCAGUGAGGAAUAUUGGUCAAUGGACGAGAGUCUGAACCAGCCAAGUAGCGUGC
rnacentral:rRNA from 1 species